rnacentral:tRNA from 1 species
ACUUGAAUAGCUCAGUUGGUAGAGCAUGAGGCUCUUAAUCUCAGGCUCGUGGGUUUGAGCCCCUCAUUGGGUA